UACGGAGGGAGCUAGCGUUAUUCGGAAUUACUGGGCGUAAAGCGCACGUAGGCGGCUUUGUAAGUUAGAGGUGAAAGCCUGGAGCUCAACUCCAGAAUUGCCUUUAAGACUGCAUCGCUUGAAUCCAGGAGAGGUGAGUGGAAUUCCGAGUGUAGAGGUGAAAUUCGUAGAUAUUCGGAGGAACACCAGUGGCGAAGGCGGCUCACUGGCUCGGUACUGACGCUGAGGUGCGAAAGCGUGGGGAGCAAACAGG
rnacentral:rRNA from 1 species